UACGUAGGGUGCAAGCGUUGUCCGUAAUUCCUGGGCGUAAAGAGCUCGUAGGCGGUUUGUCGCGUCGUCUGUGAAAACUCGAGGCUCAACCUCGAGCUUGCAGGCGAUACGGGCAGACUUGAGUACUGCAGGGGAGACUGGAAUUCCUGGUGUAGCGGUGAAAUGCGCAGAUAUCAGGAGGAACACCGGUGGCGAAGGCGGGUCUCUGGGCCGUAACUGACGCUGAGGAGCGAAAGCAUGGGGAGCGAACAGG
rnacentral:rRNA from 1 species